UGCCUAGGAAGUCUGCCUAGUGGUGGGGAUAACGUUCGGAAACGACGCUAAUACCCGCAUACGUCCUACGGGNGAAAGCGGGGAUCUCGGACCUCGCGCCAUUAGAUGAGCCGUAGGUCGGAUUAGCUAGUUGGUGAGGUAAUGGCUCACCAAGGCGACGAUCUGUAGCUGGUCUGAGAGGACGACCAGCCACACUGGGACUGAGACACGACCCAGACUCCUACGGGAGGCAGCAGUGGGAAUUUUGGACAAUGGGCGCAAGCCUGAUCCAGCAAUGCCGCGUGCAGGAUGAAGGCCUUCGGGUUGUAAACUGCUUUGUACGGAACGAAACGGUGAGCUCUAAUACAGUUUGCUAAUGACGGUACCGUAAGAAUAAGCACCGGCUAACUACGUG
rnacentral:rRNA from 1 species